GGAAGGAAAAUGGAAGGGAAGCCGUGCCCUGAAGCCGGGGACACAAAAGGCAGCCCGUGGCAGCAGAUGUCAGGGGGGAAGGAUACGAAUGGUGAAUGGGAAGGAGUUGAAACUAUCAGCCACAGAGAUAAGACAAGUCAAAAAGGAACAGAAAACCACAACAUGGGACGCGGAUCUGAGAAGACAGUGAAUGCGAAAAUGGAAAGAACAGGUGAAGCGUGGAUCGGUGGGGAAAUUAGGUGCUAAAAUGGAAAAAAACAAUAACUCUUUUUAGAAUAUACUUUGAAAUACUUAAGGGUCUUUGGGUUACUUGGCCAAGAAUGAUGAAUAGAAAUGACUUUAAUGGAGCUAGACAGAAUACAUUAUUAAUUAGCUUUACUGGUAUAGCAUGUGCUUGAAUUAAUUUGGACAAGUAGAGAAAUGAAAUAAUAUAUAAUUUGUAUGAUUCAUGAAAGUCACAAGGAAGGAAUUGUUUUUGGUUACUAUAAUUAACACAGACUUACUGACGUGUAUGUACUUAGGUCAAUCAGUGAGUUUUUGUCAAUAUUUUUGUUAGUAAUGAGACUGAACUAUGGACUCUAUGGUGUGCCGAAACCAGUAUGAACAACAAAAUGGGAAGGAAAGGAGUGGUUUCUUUUUGAGGCCUUCUGUACUGCUGCAUUUCCAUGUUCUUUGGCUCUGAAUGCAAAUUCUAAAACCUAAAAUAAUUGGGAAUAUCUGGCCAUGGUCAAAAUGGAAUUAUAAAAACUAAAAUGCUUUACUAUGAUUACUGAGAGCUCAGCCAACUUUUAGAGACAGAUGAAUAUCCAUGUAUCUAUUUUGUGUACAGUCAGCAAUCCAGAAGGCAGCAGGGUCCCAUGGACCAUCUACCCAUGGUCCACUCAUGGCCUAUCAGGGCUGCUGGAAACGGGUAGUCCGUUUUCUGGACGAGUCACAUGAAGGAGGGUGGGGGAGAAGAUAGGAUCAUUGACCAUAAACCCAUUAGUUUUGUUUCAUUCCAGUAUUACUUUUGGCUUUUGCUGGCACAAGUGAAAUUAAGAAAGAUAUCCCAAAAAAUAUUAGGUCUGAAAUAAUUCAAUUGAAAAAUGGGCUAAGGACUUGAACGGACAUUUUCCCAACGAAGAUGUAUGGUAGUCAGUCAACAGGUUUAUGAAAAAGUACUCAAUGUAACUUAUCACCAGCAAGAUGCCGAUCAAAAUCACUAUGAGAUAUCACAUCCCAUCUGUCCAGAUGGCUAUUGUCACAAAUAAAACAAAACUCAAAAGACAACAAAUGCCGGUGAGGAUGUGGAGAAAUCAGAAUUCCUGCAUACUACUGGUAGGAAUACAAAAAAGCAGACCCUAUAGAAAAUAGUACGGAAAUUUCUCAAAAAAACAAAACAAAACAACUACCAUAUGAGUCAGCAAUCCCAUUUUGGGAUAUUUAUCCAAAAGAAUUGAAAUUAGGAUCUGGAAGAGAUACUGGCACUUCUUUAUUCCCUGCAACACUAUUUACAAUCUCCAAGAUGUGGAAACAACCUAAAUACCCACUGGAAGAGAAUGUGGUAUAUAGGUACACGGAUACUAUACAGCCUUGAAAAAGAAGGAAAUUCUGCAACAUAUGGCAAAAUGGAGAAACCUCGAGAACAUCACGCUAAGUGAAACAAGCCAGUCACAGAAAAACAAAUACUUCAUUAUUCCACCUAUAUGAAGUACUUACAACACAGGAAAAUUAUUAGAAUCAAGUUGUGGAAUGGUGGUUGGCAGGGGCUGAGGGGAGGGGGAAACAGGCAUAAAGUUUCAGUCAAGCGAGAUGAAUGCAUCCUAGAGAUCUGACCCACAACAUGUACACUUAAAAAUGUGUUAAGAAGGUAGAUGUCAUGUGAAGUGUUCUUACCACAAUCAAAUAAAGUCAAACCAAUAAGAACAAAACAAAAAAGGUAAGAAUCAAGCUUUUAAAUUGAUGCUACUUUUUUUUAAAACUCAAGACGUCCAAAUAUAUUUUAGAAAUAAAGAAACAUUUAUUUAAGGAGUGCCAAAAAAAAAAAAAAAUCAGAUCUGAGAUUUCGUAUGGUUAGCUACAAAUAUCUGCCAGUCUUCUGACACCAGUGAGCUAAGUGGCUGGUUUCUGUGGCCACUUUUGGAUUCCGUGGUACACUAAUCUAUUCUCUGGUUUCAAGGCCUUUGGGAACUCUUUUAGGUGGUCACAUCAGGUCCAGUAUAGACUGUGGGUAAGGUCACCCUAAAAUAUGGAGAAAACUGACCAUGGCUUUGAACUUGUUUAGGAAGCUCCGAAAAUCCCAAGAGAGGGAGGUGAUAAUAGGUUUUGUGAAUGAUGCAUGAUCUCUGGAAUGAGCUUGCUCCCUCAGUAGCUCGGGACCGGUUGGUCCCCUGAACAACGAAAGACCCUGGAUGGGGACUCCAGCAAAUGUGGACCCCUCUCCAGUGUUGUCCUCACUAUGGCUGUUGGCUAGGCAGCAACGACUUGGGGAGGGAAGGUGGCACAGUCCCUUCUCAGAAUUUUGGGAGCAGAGCAUCCAUGAUAGAGGAAGUAAUACGAAUACAGUAAAUACACAUCCCCGGUAGAAGACCUGUGUUGCACCUUCCACUUGUUGGUCAGGGACAGGCACCUAAGCCACAGAGAGGGUGGGAGAUUGUUUCAAGUUUGCAGCCAGUCAGAGCGGAAGCCUUCUGUCCCAAGAACGGCGUUCCUUAUGCACAACCAGAAAUACUCCAUGCCUUCGAAGGACAAAAAGGGACCAAUAAGAUAAUGCCCGUAACCCCCGACCCCUGCCUUGACCCUUGGCAGGUGGCCACUCUAUGCUGCACUUUACUUACAACUUCUCUUUUCAGACGCAGCCUCCUCUCCUCCUCCCGGGACAGUAGGUAGUGAAAGGGACACUCCCUGUAGAGAAUGACCAGCAAGGCUUUUCAUCAGAGCACAGGGAAACUGUGUUCCAAACAACUCCACACUUGUCUUAAUAGGCACGACCUUUACUCCUGGGACACAUUUUUCACUGUCCUGUCUGCCGUGUAGCCUGAAUCAAAACAGUGAUUCAUUAGAGUUUUUCACAUUCUCUCUUUCAUUACUAGACGGACCCUUGGGUCAUUUAUAGGUUGGACCUUGGCCCCUCUCUUCCUUUAUUUAUAAAAAAGCAUGAACGCUCUCCCUGUUCAUAGGGAGGCCUGGCUCACUUUCGUCCCAUACCCUUUUAUUCACAAGGUCAGUAUGUUUGUCUUCUCUCCUCACAGAGAUUACUUUUUACGUAUCUGAUGAGAAGGACUCCCAAAGAAGACCUAUAAGGGCCCUUGUCCCUCUGUGGCUUGUUAAAUCCCGGGUCGCCUUGUCUUUUGCCUGCCCACCUCUCCUGUGGCCUAAAGUGUUUUUCUCUGGGAAGUAAAAUUACGGGGAGUGGGUUUUGGCUCAGUGUAAGAUGAGCCAUUAGCAACUGGAGGCAUCUGAAAAAUAAGGGGGCUGUUUCCAGUAGUGGAAUCUUCUUGGCCUCUGCAGUUUGUGUACCAAUCACUGACCACAUGUCAGAGACAACGUUAGGAAGGAUUAGAGAAUCAGAUUGGGGUGGGUCAAGAGUGGCAAACCUCUGAGUAUUUUUUAUGCUAGGGAUAAGGAAAGAGAACAGAAGUGAGACAGUCUCGCAGGGCUGGAGGAUCCCUCAGGUUCCUUUCCACCUUAUUCUAUAUCUACACGCAUAUACCCAGACAAGUUUUAGACAAAACAGCUUGUUUCUUAAGAGUUUUGACCUGGAGCGAUCUUUAGGGAUCAUUUUUCUCAGCUUUUCUUUCUUUCUUUUUUUUUUUUUUUGAAUAGAAGAAAAUUAGGUUCCAAAAGGUGAAGUAUUUUUUUUUUCUAACCACAGCUAGUUCUGUUGUUUAUUAAACACACACACACACACACACACACACACACACACACACACACCAGACAUGCUCUAUGGGUUACAGAAUACUCAGAACAUUUAUGGCAUGAAGGUGUUCUAAAUUUCCCUCCUGACUGCGGCUGGAAAUUCCUACUUCUCCAUCUGCUAUUACAAUUACGGUUUGGGAAAAGGCCUAAUUUUGCCCCCCCUGUAGAACACCCUGAUUCAUGAGACAUGGAAAGAAACUGGUGGUGGCAGCGUGGGUUUCUGCUAAGACCUCAGAAGCAUCGUCCAAGAGGAAAUAGCGUAGCAACAGGCAGGAAGGUUGUGAGUUGUUUCCAUGGUGUGAUUUAAGGGGGUACCAUGGCUACCAUUUCCUAUACCGGUGCCAGUCACCUUUCUGUAAGAAUAGUUUCAUUGCUUUGGGCCUUGAAGGCAUUUGUAGUCUUAAGAGUUCUCUGUCCAAAAAUCACAGUUAAUGCAUCUAAUUCUAUCAGUUAAUGGUUAAGAUAACCAUUAGCACUUUGAAUACCUCCUAGAUACUGGGCCCAUAAUUACCUCCUUUAAUUUCCUACUUGAUACAUACUUGAGAGGAAAUCUCUGCAGGGAAUGGUCUACAAACUAGGAAACUGGGGGUCGGGUACCAGGAUGAUUAGGAAGGGGAGUUUUGGAUUCAGAUGGAAUCUAUUAUCUGCUGUUGAUUAGUACUGUGACCUUAGGAAAGUUAGCUAGCUGGCGUAUGUAAUCCCAAAUUUCUUUAUUUGUAAAAUAGGGGAAAUAAUAACACCCCUUGGGUUUAUUUUUUAACCAUUUUUUAAGUUUAUUUAUUUAUUCUGAGAGAGAGAGAGAGAGAGAGGAGGGAGACAAUCCCAAGCAGGCUCUGUGCUGUCAGUGCAGAGCUGGAUACGGGACUUGAACCCAUGAAACUCUGAGAUCAUGACCUGAGCUGAAAUCAAGAGUCUGAUGCUCAACUGACUGAGCCACCCAGGCGCCCCUAGGGUCAUUUUUGAGAAUUGGUUUAAUAAUGCCUGUCAGGCACUUAAGAGAGUGCCAGGCACGUAUGAAAUAUUCGAUGAAUGGUAAUUACUUCUGCUAUAAUAUCAAAAUUGAGGAACAGACUUGAACAGGGGAGGGAAAAGGCACCAAAGAAGAGUCGUACCCUCAAAACAGGUUUUCCCAAAGUCAACUUGAUCCAGGCAGUCUUAUCACCAGGGGAAAGGCUGUGUGUCAGAGCAAAGCCAAGGAAAGCAGCCAUGUGGACCAUGUUGAAAGGGGUCCUGUCCUCCACGCAAGGGCGUUUGCAUGGCAUCUGGCAUUUUCAGUCUGUCUCCUAGUCUCAUUAUUCCCCUCAUCCCACCCUUCCUUGGAAUUUCUAGCCUCCGGAUAAUUAGACACAGUGUCUCUUCUGUCUGGAAAACAUUCUGCUCAACUGGCCUGCUUUACUCUUCCUUGGCUUUCCGGUCUCGGCUUAGAUGCAACUUUCCCUGGGAAGCCCCCGCUAGGCUGGGUGGAGCCCCUCUCGCGUGUUUCCCCACAGCACCCGGACAGAGAACUUACCACCUUCCCUAUAAUCGCUUGCUCAUGUGUGUCUUCUCCACUAGGCUGUGAAUCCACUGAGAGCAGGAAGCCAACUUCUAGCACAGCAAACUGGGCGUUAAGAGCAACUCAGCAAGUUCUUAUUAUCUAAGCGAGUGAAUGAAUGACUUAUAGGCUGAGGUCUGAGGGCAGGGAAGUUGCUUUGGAUUUCUCCUUGCACUCCCACCUUAUGCGUCAAGGAACAACACAUAAGAUCGUGUUGCCGAGAGGAAAAAAAUGCUCAUCAGGAUGACACCACUAUUGUUCUCCUUUUCCCUUGUAGAAACGGUCCACAGAUUACUUAAAUGUCAAAACACAGAGGGCUCUUCCUAAACUGAAAAAUAAUGCACUUAGGAGCCAUCUCUGCUUACCAAAUGGACGGCUGACCAGGAUCUUGGGGCUUUAUCACAUGAAGAAAAACGUGUAUCUGAUUCAUUUGCUGGUGGACAUGUCUUCCAAAAUCAAUUUUUUUUUUCAACUGCGGCAUUAAAUCGCUGUGAAAGGGAAACUGAUUUGGGUUUCUUCUCAGCUGGAUUCUGUGCUAUUUUGGAAACAGAGAGUCUCGAUUACUUUCCCGAACAUCGGGACUUUUCCAAUUUAGCUCGUGACCUCGUCUUCAUCAGUGGUUGACAUAGGAUAACCGUAUAUUUAUCAUUCAAACCGAG
rnacentral:lncRNA from 1 species